GGGUAUAUAGCUCAGUGGUAGAGUACAUGUUUAACAUGCAUGCAGUCCUGGGUUCAAUCCCCAGUACCUCCA
rnacentral:tRNA from 1 species